AAAUUGAAGAGUUUGAUCAUGGCUCAGAUUGAACGCUGGCGGCAGGCCUAACACAUGCAAGUCGAACGGUAACAGGAAACAGCUUGCUGUUUCGCUGACGAGUGGCGGACGGGUGAGUAAUGUCUGGGAAACUGCCUGAUGGAGGGGGAUAACUACUGGAAACGGUAGCUAAUACCGCAUAACGUCGCAAGACCAAAGAGGGGGACCCUCGGGCCUCUUGCCAUCGGAUGUGCCCAGAUGGGAUUAGCUUGUUGGUGGGGUAACGGCUCACCAAGGCGACGAUCCCUAGCUGGUCUGAGAGGAUGACCAGCCACACUGGAACUGAGACACGGUCCAGACUCCUACGGGA
rnacentral:rRNA from 1 species